CCUACGGGAGGCAGCAGUGAGGAAUAUUGGUCAAUGGGCGCGAGCCUGAACCAGCCAAGUCGCGUGAGGGAAGACGGUCCUAUGGUUUGUAACUCUCUUUUGUCGGGGAGCAAAAGACGCCACGCGUGGCGUUCCGAGAGUACCCGAAUAAAAAGCAUCGGCUAACUCCGUGCCAACAGCCCCGGUAAUACGGGGGAUGCGAGCGUUAUCCGGAUUUGGUGGGUUUAAGGGGUGCGCAGGCGGAAGACCCAGGCAGCGGUAAAAGUGAGAGGUGCACCCUCUUUGAGCCGUUGAAACUGGUUUUCUUGAGUGAGUGAGAAGUAUGCGGAAUGCGUGGUGUAGCGGUGAAAUGCAUAGAUAUCACGCAGAACUCCGAUUGCGAAGGCAGCAUACCGGCGCUCAACUGACGCUCAUGCACGAAAGUGUGGGUAUCGAACAGGAUUAGAUACCCGGGUAGUC
rnacentral:rRNA from 1 species